rnacentral:rRNA from 1 species
CUGUCGUCAGCUCGUGUCGUGAGAUGUUGGGUUAAGUCCCGCAACGAGCGCAACCCUCGUCCUUAGUUGCUAACAGUUCGGCUGAGCACUCUAGGGAGACUGCCUUCGCAAGGAGGAGGAAGGUGAGGACGACGUCAAGUCAUCAUGGCCCUUACGGCCAGGGCUACACACGUGCUACAAUGGGGCGUACAGAGAGCUGCGAUACCGCGAGGUGGAGCCAAUCUCUUAAAGCGUCUCUCAGUUCGGAUUGUUCUCUGCAACUCGAGAACAUGAAGCUGGAAUCACUAGUAAUCGCAGAUCAGCUAUGCUGCGGUGAAUACGUUCCCGGGUCUU